rnacentral:rRNA from 1 species
AGCGAACGCUGGCGGCAGGCCUAACACAUGCAAGUCGAACGAAGCAUUCGGGCUUAGUGGCGGACGGGUGAGUAACACGUGGGAACGUACCUUUUGGUUCGGAACAACUCAGGGAAACUUGAGCUAAUACCGGAUGAGCCCUUAGGGGGAAAGAUUUAUCGCCGAAAGAGCGGCCCGCGUUAGAUUAGCUAGUUGGUGAGGUAAAGGCUCACCAAGGCUACGAUCUAUAGCUGGUCUGAGAGGAUGAUCAGCCACACUGAGACUGAGACACGGCCCAGACUCCUACGGGAGGCAGCAGUGGGGAAUCUUGCGCAAUGGGCGAAAGCCUGACGCAGCCAUGCCGCGUGAAUGAUGAAGGUCUUAGGAUUGUAAAAUUCUUUUACCAGGGACGAUAAUGACGGUACCUGGAGAAAAAGCCCCGGCUAACUUCGUGCCAGCAGCCGCGGUAACAC